ACGAACGCUGGCGGCGUGCUUAACACAUGCAAGUCGAACGGAAAGGCCCUGCUUGCAGGGUACUCGAGUGGCGAACGGGUGAGUAACACGUGGGUGAUCUGCCCUGCACUUCGGGAUAAGCUUGGGAAACUGGGUCUAAUACCGGAUAGGAGCCAUUUUUAGUGUGAUGGUUGGAAAGUUUUUUCGGUGUAGGAUGAGCUCGCGGCCUAUCAGCUUGUUGGUGGGGUAAUGGCCUACCAAGGCGGCGACGGGUAGCCGGCCUGAGAGGGUGGACGGCCACAUUGGGACUGAGAUACGGCCCAGACUCCUACGGGAGGCAGCAGUGGGGAAUAUUGCACAAUGGGCGCAAGCCUGAUGCAGCGACGCCGCGUGGGGGAUGACGGCCUUCGGGUUGUAAACUCCUUUCGCUAGGGACGAAGCUUUUGUGACGGUACCUAGAUAAGAAGCACCGGCUAACUACGUG
rnacentral:rRNA from 1 species